GACGAACGCUGGCGGCGUGCUUAACACAUGCCAGUCGAGCGGAAAGGCCCUUCGGGGUCCUCGAGCGGCGAACGGGUGAGUAACACGUGAGUAACCUGCCCUAGGCUUUGGGAUAACCCCGGGAAACCGGGGCUAAUACCGGAUAUGACCUGGUGCCGCAUGGUGUUGGGUGGAAAGUUUUUUCGGCCUGGGAUGGGCUCGCGGCCUAUCAGCUUGUUGGUGGGGUGAUGGCCUACCAAGGCGAUGACGGGUAGCCGGCCUGAGAGGGCGACCGGCCACACUGGGACUGAGACACGGCCCAGACUCCUACGGGAGGCAGCAGUGGGGAAUAUUGCACAAUGGGCGGAAGCCUGAUGCAGCGACGCCGUGUGAGGGAUGAAGGCCUUCGGGUUGUAAACCUCUUUCAGCAGGGACGAAGCGUGAGUGACGGUACCUGCAGAAGAAGCGCCGGCCAACUACGUG
rnacentral:rRNA from 1 species